GAAGAGUGGAGGAUUGUUGCAGCACAAGUUCUUGCUCUUGGUGAAAAAAUAUCUCUUCGAUGGAAAUUCAUUUCCAUUUACUUAAAGUUAAAUGGUUUGACUUUGAAUUUUCAUUAUCUGCUGUUGGAAGGAGCCUGUGACAGGUGAAGAAGAGUCGAUGAGUGGGAGUAAAGCAAAAUAUUUUGACUUUUGAGAGACUCUAAACUCUUCAAACCUAUUGUUAUAAGAGAUGAUGCUUGACAUUGCAAAUCAUUCUGCCUUUCUUUUACUUUCCAAACCCAGGACUACUUUUGUCUCCCCAUUCUGACUGUGAUACAACCUUCUGCCAUGGUGACUUGUUCUGAAGUCGCUUGAAUUAAAAGGCCGUGCUUUGGAUCUACAUUUCUAUGGAUGAAAUACAGCAGAUUAAGUGAUUCUGGGCUGCUAACCUCAACCUCCAUCCUUCUAUCUGUUUUAGAGCUUUUGUGAUUCAUUGCCAUUCUCCUGAAGUCACUGAGAAAGGACAGACGGUUUUAAUUACGACCACAAAAAAAAAGUCAAUCAGGCAUAUGGAGAUAACAGCCCAGAAUUUUUAUGAGACCUUGGAGAAGUUAGCUUGCCAGAACUUGAAACCCUGGAAGUUGACUUACUUCAGCUUGGGAGAAAAUUUCCUGAGUCUCUGAUUUUUUUCCAGGAGAAUCUGAUAAUAAAAUUACUAAUAUAUGACCUUUGCUUAGAAACAAAUGAGAGACGAAAAGUAUACAUAACAAUAGCUGAAAAAUAGUACAUAUUUAUAAGAAGUAACUGCCAAUUGUUUUGAACUUUAUCUUAAAACGUUUUGUCAUGAGACUUGCUUGAAGUUCUACCGUGUUAGGUUGAAAUCAGUGAAAUUCUACUGUACCAGAAAGGAUUGGUCCUUGAUAAGAGCAUUAUAAUUGUUGCAAAGGAUUUGCAGAAAAAUACGUAACUAAAUGUCUGGAAGAUUUUUUUAAAAAUUAAUAUUAGGGGUAAGGUGUGUAGGUGAGAGUUCAAAUGUUUCCUCAU